AGGAGGCAAGCGUUAUCCGGAAUUAUUGGGCGGAAAGCGUCCUCAGGUGGCACUUCAAGUCUGUCGUCAAAGACUGGGGCUUAACCCUGGAAAGGCGGUGGAAACUGAAGCGCUAGAGUGCGGUAGGGGUAGAGGGAAUUCCCGGUGUAGCGGUGAAAUGCGUAGAGAUCGGGAAGAACAUCGGUGGCGAAAGCGCUCUACUGGACCGCAACUGACACUCAGGGACGAAAGCUAGGGGAGCGAAUGGG
rnacentral:rRNA from 1 species